CCUACGGGAGGCAGCAGUGAGGAAUAUUGGUCAAUGGACGAGAGUCUGAACCAGCCAAGUAGCGUGAAGGAUGACUGCCCUAUGGGUUGUAAACUUCUUUUAUAAAGGAAUAAAACGAGGCACGUGUGCCUUUUUGCAUGUACUUUAUGAAUAAGGAUCGGCUAACUCCGUGCCCGCAGCCGCGGUAAUACGGAGGAUCCGAGCGUUAUCCGGAUUUAUUGGGUUUAAAGGGAGCGUAGAUGAGUUGUUAAGUCAGUUGUGAAAGUUUGCGGCUCAACCGUAAAAUUGCAAUUGAUACUGGCAGUCUUGAGUACAGUUGAGGUAGGCGGAAUUCGUGGUGUAGCGGUGAAAUGCUUAGAUAUCACGAAGAACCCCGAUUGCGAAGGCAGCUUACUAAACUGUGACUGACAUUGAGGCUCGAAAGUGUGGGUAUCAAACAGGAUUAGAUACCCGUGUAGUC
rnacentral:rRNA from 1 species